ACGAACGGAGAAUGCCUAUGGGCGAUAGGUCUGUGCGCCAGGAGUCUGCCGCGCGGGCUCUCUAUCGCGCUGUAAGCGCGGGAGUCGUGCCCCGUUCAGAAAGCAGAGGCAGGCUGAACCCGAGACAGUGAAUUAAGAGAGCGAGACAUACCAGUGAGGCAUACCUCUGCAUGUUGGAGUUUGUACACAGCAGCUGAAAGAGAAGCUGAACCAAGAAUAGAUCCAGCAUUGUGGCCUUCACUGAAAAGAAUCCAUUCUUUUUCAAAGUGGUCAAGGUACCAGGGAGCUAUGUCUGAAGAGGCUGAAAAAAUAGAAAAACAGCCCCCUGACCCUCCACCAGACCCACGCUGGAAGUUCCUUGUUGCCUACCUCUGUUUCUACGGCUUCAUGAGCCAGAUUAGACCUGGAGAGAGCUUCAUCACACCCUACCUGUUGGGAACUGAGAAGAAUUUCACAAAGGAAGAGUUAUAAUAAAACUGAAAGGAGUCUCAGCCUGAACAUACCUGCUGCCUGUUGUUCUGGUGAUUUGAAGUGCAGACUUAAAAUUUAACUUUUGAGUCAGCAAAUAGUUUGGGAAUGCAAACUAGCAAGGUAAACGCCUUAACUGAUUGCUCUGAGUGAACUCCUACAACCAUUUACCACAUUCUGGCUCCCUCCAGAUGGGUUGAAUACGGUUCUCAUCAUUCCUAGCCAACAUGACUAUGUUUGGAGUUCUGGUGCAAUGCAUCUGGAGGACACUUUGGGAAGGCUGUGCUUCAUGAUAAGAUCUUUGUUGUGGUGGUAUCAUAUGGCAUACUAUAGAACCCUUUAAAAAAUCCAAAAUAAACCCUUGUGGUAAGGUUUUCCUCUCCUUUUUAUGUUAUUUUGUCCUUCUCCUUUGGACUGUCUCCUCACCCCCAUUCUCCUCAGGUUUCAUUUACUGCUACUGUUGGAACCUAUUUACUUUUUUGGUAGAAGGGAACCCAUGAUUAUUCUAUAGUAAUCUCUGCCUCAUUUAAUAUCUAGUGCCAGUUAUAGGUGGUGAUGGACUUUUCAAGGCCACUGUGAAUUAGGCAGUUUGGAGUCCUCCUAAAUUUAGUGAAAUCAAUUAACUUCUUCAGCUUGAUGGGGCUGGGUUCGUACCACACCAAACUGUGAUAUUGACUCUCUGUUGAUGAGCUGAUGGAAGCCUGAAGCUUGAGUGUCCCAUUGUUGUCUUUAUCGAAUGAAUGGUUAUUCCCACCUGCUCCUAUGGAUUGAGUAAAGUAGAGGUGGCCAAAGGCCACAUUUAACAUUUUUGUAGGCUACAUCAUAUACACUACACUACACAUUUAGACACUCAUGUGUUUUGCACCUCAGAAUGGCAGGGCAUUGUGCUAUCAGCUUUCAGCAAUCAUUGACAGAGAACCAUAACAGGAUAACUUUGAGGACCACAACAGAAUUGACUGGGGAGGGAUGCAUACAGUCCUGAAGCUGCAGGUUGCUCCUGCCUGAGUUAAAGGAUUUCAUCCAGACUAGAGCAUUGAUUUCUAUGUCUUGUUUCCAGUUCUAGUCUUCAGAGUUUGCUCAAUCAUAGCUUGAAUCUUUAAAAGAAAUUGUAAAUUGGUUUGCCUGAAAUCAGGACAUGUCCAAGGUCUGUGAACAACAGCAUGCUCUCUCAUGAUUUGGUGUGACAUUAGCUCCAAGCCAUCUAAUUCACGGUGGCCUUGAAAAGUUCUUCACCUUCAAAAUCUUAGGGAAGGCACAUAUUUACUUUUGUCUGGAAAUGAUUUCUGGGUAGGGACAGGAGGCUUUUUGUUAAAUCGGUCCUCACAUAACUAAGUGUUCUUUAUUGGGGCGCUUCCAGUAAAUAAGGACACUGUCUUCCUCCAAGGCCCAGGAUAAUGGUAGCCAGACCCCCUCCCCCAGCUCUUUUUUUACUCUUUUGGCUUUGACACAAUUUCACGGAAAGAGUUCAGCCAGGAAGUAAGUCUCCACGCAGAGGCAGGAUUGUGCUGAUCUUGCUAAGGUGACUGCUGAGUUACAUCAGGCAAGCUUUAAGCUGCUCAGUUAUAUUACAGCGGAUCAGUGUUUGCCAGAAAAGUAUUCACAGCAUGGUUGCCUGUGAGUAUAAGAGAGAAAUUUGUGGUGUGGCUCACAGUAGAAUGCUGAACAUUCAUGCUGGCCAAUCCAGAAUAACGAAUCCCAUUUAGUCAUUGCACAGGGUCUAAACAUUUUAAGGUUUGUUUUUUCCAUUGAUUUUUGUCACUUUGUAAAGGUAAACUGAUCGUUACAACCUCUAAUGCAGAGUUGGGCAAUCUAGGUCCUGCAGCAACCCAAGAUCACGCUUUCAUAAUUUGAUAACCAAAUUAAUUUUAGUGGGCAUGAUUUUUACCCAGUUGGAUGAGGUUGGAGUAGCUUGAAGAGUGGGAGUAACAACAUAAGCCUUCUAUGAGGCAAAACACUUCUAUUCCCAUCCUUGAACUCCUUCCCUAUUCCCCAAUUUGAGUGCACCCAAAUAUAAAUCACUGACCACCAGAAUUCCAACUUGGAGCAGUCGUGAGUUAGAAGACUGAAUUGCAGCUCCUGCCUGAAAUAAAUUACCAGUUCCCCACCCCUCCUUACUCUUAUUAUAAAGGCCUCAUGCUGAGAGCCAGUUUGGUCUAGUGGUUAAGGCACCAGGCU